UUCACAAUCCCCACCAUGAACGGUAGUUAUGACUAAUUACCCAAAAGAGAUGGAAGGACCCAUAACGAUUUAGAGACUCAAAUACUAAUAUUUAUUAAUAUUGAUUCAUUAUAGUACAUAAAUUAUGCUAAUAACAAGUCUUUAUAAAUAUACAGAUGUCUUAUUAUGUCUAUUUUUAUCUAAAUCACAUUAUCACAGGUGUUUGACGAUUGAUAAUAAUGAUGUCAAUGUGGGUAGUUAGUGGCACCGAUGAAAAUGACUGUUAAAUGAAAGUAGAAACGGUUUAAAAUUUUCAGUCACUUGGAGCUAUUACGGACUUCAUUUUAUGAAUUGGGAUGUGCUCUCUAUCAACCGAAACAAAGGAAGCGACAUCUAUCUGUCAGAUAUAAACAAGUACACUACAUCAUCAGAAUGGGCGGCACCAUGGAACCAUCCUGGGGGUGAUGGUUCAUUAUACAUGAUUCCGGGGUAGAUGGGGC